UACGUAGGUGGCAAGCGUUGUCCGGAUUUAUUGGGUUUAAAGGGUGCGUAGGCGGUCCAUUAAGUCAGCAGUGAAAUACGGCAGCUCAACUGUCGAGGUGCUGUUGAUACUGGUGGACUUGAGUACUGAUGAGGUAGGCGGAAUGGACGGUGUAGCGGUGAAAUGCUUAGAGAUCGUCCAGAACACCGAUAGCGAAGGCAGCUUACUAAGGAGUAACUGACGCUGAGGCACGAAAGUGUGGGGAUCAAAC
rnacentral:rRNA from 1 species